AUGCCCAGUGGAAGCUUAUAUGCUAAAGUUGGAAUGAUACAGAGAAGAUUAGCAUGGCCCCUGUGUGAGCAUGGCAUGCAAAUUUGUGAAAUGUUCCAUGUCUUU
ensembl:snRNA U6 U6 spliceosomal RNA